rnacentral:misc_RNA from 1 species
UCUGCGUUACCGCAGCAGUUUCGUGUGACACUUGUAACACACGAUAGGGGUUGCGCUCGUUCAUCCACUUAAGGAGACCUCUCACGAGACGAGCUGACGACAGCCGUGCAGCACCUGUCCAGCGGCCUUUCGGGGGACCCGGUUUCCCGGGCCUUUCCACUGAAUUUCAAACCCUGGUGAGGUUUCUCGGUUAGAGUCGAAUUGAACCGCAUGAUCCACUGCUUGUGCGAGUUCCCGCCUAUUUCUUUGAGUUUUAAUCUUGCGAUCGUACUUCCCAGGCGCCAGACUUAACGCGUUAGCUUCGCCACUGGAAGGGUCGAUGCUCCCAAUAGCCAGUCUGGAUCGUUUAGGGCGUGGACUA